CGGCGAGGAGGUCAGGGAAGAAGCUACAGACAGAGGCUGGCCAGGUGGGCCAGUCAAUGAUUACCUUAGGCUUACUAGAAAAUACCUGGGCUCUUGGGGUGGGCAAGACCGAUCUCCAUUUUCGUCAUCUGAGAGCAGGAACAGCAUGUGAGGACCGCGGAUGAAUCGCCAACCUGUGCAGUUACCACCCAACCUCAGCCUACCAGGAGCACUCCAGCCCACACCAGAAACCACUCACGGAGCGGAGGGGGCUCCCAACAACCAGGGCCGAGGUGCAGAGAGGAACCUGGGUCUCAUCCCUCCAGUAAUUUUGAGUGGUUUUCUUCCUUUCUGCUCCUGCUGCUUGAUAGGAGAUGUAGACAUAGACUCCCCCAGUCUCUCUCUCUCUCUCUCUCUCUCUCUCUCUCUCUCUCUCUCUCUCUCUCUCUCUCCCCCUCUCUCUCUCUUCCUUUUUCCUGAGGCAAGUCAUUACCUCACCACGGACAGGGGCCCAGUGGUACCACCAACUCUUACAUUCUAGCCACAUCCAACCACAAUCAUUUAUCAAUCAGCUGAUGAAUUUUUUCCAAAAGCCAAAUAUAGUCCAGGUGCUAGAGAUUAGCACAAAUAGAGUCCCUGCCUUCCAGUUAAAGAGAGAAGCCAAAGGAAUGGGCAAGCCUUUUUAGCACCACGAGGACUCAGGCACAGCAAAAUCAGAUCUGAACACUCUGCCUCCUAUGACCUGCCCAUCAUGCUGCGGGCAGCUCCUUCCCCAAUCACCGUCUAACUGAGUAACCUGGGCAGGUUUCUUUGUGUUCCCUCAUUCAUCUCAGCCUGGCAGAAGUGGAUGGUUGAAAGGGACCCACCUAUCUGCCAGGCCGGCUUCGCGAUUUGAGUCAGACCCUGUGGACACCAUCCCUUGGCAAACUAGAAAGCCUAUAUCAGAUUCUCAAGUUCCUCUUUUCUCCCUUUCUCCGUGGGUGCCUAAGGAUCGAGGACCAUCCCCUGGGAGCCCAGGAUGAGAACAGGGAGGUUGAUGUGCUGAUGGAGUUGGCCACCCCUCCCUGCCCAGCCUGCCUGGGCAGUACUGCACAGAGCUGGCCUCUAUGUGGGGUUCAGAGAGUCUCCUGGCUCCCACACAGAGCCCUUUUCUCCUGGGCUCCUGCACAAAGCUUGUUCACAGUCACCCAUUCAGAAAGCUGGGUGAUUGAAAGGAGGCUGCAGGCCGGCAGGGUGACCUUCGGGUCUGCCUGGGUGGGAGAGAGAGUUAGAUCCCGCCGAAGCCCCCCAGGCCCUAAGAGGACCAGCUGGGCUUUGAAUCCUCACAGACACAGCUAGGAAGAUACCUUGAGGCGAAGAACACUGGCCUGAGGUGCUGGCUCCCAGCCCCAGUGAAUUACUUACCCUUCUUCUCAUUGCUCCCAUUCACAAAAAAAACAGAAUAAAUAAUCACCCCCACCCCCAAUCUCAGAGUGGAUUGAAGAAAGUGGGGUGGGACUAUAGGUGUUUGGCAGAAAGAUGGAUUUGCAGCUGAAUAAACAGGUUUAGCCAGUGUGUUAAAACAAGUUCAGGCCUCCGUACAUUCUAGUCACCACGCUAAUGGUACUUUCUCUGAAGAUGGAAUGUUCCAUGCUGUACUGCCCCACGGGACAGCCACAGUCUGCAGGUGCUGCUACCAAGCAGU